GACAACAAUACAGAUUUCCAUACCGGACUGGUCGAGGACCAGGUUAACAAUGGCCGCCAUCAGUACUGUGAUAUUGGGCUACUAUUGGCUGAAGGAGAAGAAGAUGGGGAAGGUGUGUCCAGAAGCAAGAGGAGAGAAGGAAGGUUGGGCCCCAGGAGGCGGGUCCACCCUGAUAUCCCAACUCUUGAACCCUCCAUCUGGGAGUCUGAUUUCUGGACUGUGUAUUAGGACUAGUUUGCUGUGAAUUUGUCUUUUAGGUGAAUCCUGUUUGCCUUUUUUAUUAUGCUUUGUUUAGAGUUUUGGUCUUAUUUGAUGUUUUUGUUAAUUAAUCCUUUAUUUAUAAAGGUUCAUUGUUUCCCUUUUUUAUACAGGCAGAGAGUUGUUCACUACUCAAAGCACUCAUUUAUUAAAGACCAUUAAUAAAACCUUGAAUCCAUUGAUGUAAAAUAAUGAAA